rnacentral:rRNA from 1 species
UACGGAGGAUGCAAGCGUUAUCCGGAAUGAUUGGGCGUAAAGCGUCCGCAGGUGGCUGUGUAAGUCUGCUGUUAAAGAGUGAGGCUCAACCUCAUAAAAGCAGUGGAAACUACACGGCUAGAGUGCGUUCGGGGCAGAGGGAAUUCCUGGUGUAGCGGUGAAAUGCGUAGAUAUCAGGAAGAACCCCGGUGGCGAAAGCGCUCUGCUAGGCCGCAACUGACACUGAGGGACGAAAGCUAGGGGAGCGAAUGGG